rnacentral:rRNA from 1 species
GGAGUUAGCCGGUGCUUCUUCUGCGAGUAACGUCACAGAUGUAAGGUAUUAACUUACACCCUUUCCUCCUCGCUGAAAGUGCUUUACAACCCGAAGGCCUUCUUCACACACGCGGCAUGGCUGCAUCAGGGUUUCCCCCAUUGUGCAAUAUUCCCCACUGCUGCCUCCCGUAGGAGUCUGGGCCGUGUCUCAGUCCCAGUGUGGCUGAUCAUCCUCUCAGACCAGCUAGGGAUCGUCGCCUAGGUGAGCCUUUACCUCACCUACUAGCUAAUCCCACCUGGGCUUAUCCAUCAGCGCAAGGCCCGAAGGUCCCCUGCUUUCCCCCGUAGGGCGUAUGCGGUAUUAGCAGUCGUUUCCAACUGUUAUCCCCCACAAAUGGGCAAAUUCCCAGGCAUUACUCACCCGUCCGCCGCUCGUCAUCUUCAAAAGCAAGCUUUUGAAAUGUUACCGCUCGACUUGCAUGUGUUAGGCCUGCCGCCAGCGUUCAAUCUGAGCCAGAAUCAAACUACUGA